GACGAACGCUGGCGGCGUGCUUAACACAUGCAAGUCGAACGGAAAGGCCCUGCUUUUGUGGGGUGCUCGAGUGGCGAACGGGUGAGUAACACGUGAGUAACCUGCCCUUGACUUUGGGAUACCUUCCGGAAACUGGGGCUAAUACCGGAUAGGAGCCCCUGCUGCAUGGUGGGGGUUGGCAAGUUUCGGCGGUUGGGGAUGGACUCGCGGCUUAUCAGCUUGUUGGUGUGGUAGUGGCUUACCAAGGCUUUGACGGGUAGCCGGCCUGAGAGGGGGACCGGCCACAUUGGGACUGAGGUACGGCACAGACUCCAACGGGAGGUAGAAGUGGCGAAUACUCCACAAUGGGCGGAAGCCUGAUGCAGCAACGCCGCGUGCGGGAUGACGGCCUUCGGGUUGUAAACCGCUUUCGCCUGUGACGAAGCGUGAGUGACGGUAAUGGGUAAAGAAGCACCGGCUAACUACGUG
rnacentral:rRNA from 1 species